UUACACGCGUUCUACGAUUUACGGUGUCGGAGCUCGUUAUGAAAAUUUCGAACGGCCAUAAAUCGAAAGCGAGAGACUCUUGUGCCUACGUGAAUACAAUAAGUUUAAAGGAUUUUCGUAAUUUAAACGAAAAUAUCGGGUGCUCGUCCAUUGGAAUAUUUUUUGACAAGGAGAAGAGAAGACAAAAUUAAGACUGAAGCCACGCUCGUACCGCAUGAAGGGCAGCUGCCACCAGGACAAUGCCGUCCCUCCUUGCGUAAAUGCCAAAGGUCACAUUGUCCCUUAACAGAUUGUAUAAGGAUAGAAAGUCAAGACUUCCCGUGAAUGAGAGGGCACAAGGGAGUAAGGAGCCCUUUGGUCGGGCCAGAGAGGCUGGUCUGCGAAAUUAAAAAGGAGGGGAUGCUGGAAAAUACGGAAAAGUGAAAAAGGACCGCGACAGGCUGCUCCAAAGUGUUGGGGAAAAAAAAAAAAGAACUAUUGUUCCCACGUCAAUUGCUGGACUUGCUUGGCAUCGUGCGUACUUUCAGAAUACAAUAAAGCAUUUCCAUGAAUUAAUGGGUCUUUCAUCGGCCCGAUGUAUCGGUACAGUCAUUAAGUGGUUAUACGAAAGGCAAUGGUAUGACAGAAAUUAAUGGUGUAACUAAAAAACCACGUGAUGGAUAGACCCAGCAAGGGAUGUGGAUAAGAAAUAUAACUAUGUAAUUUCUACAAGCAAAAACAACACUGGACUGCUAUGGAUUAACGCGAUAGUCGCUACCGGAGAAUUCACCCUACAUACAGCGCCAUUCAUUCGUACUCGGCAGCGGGAACGAGUCAGACAAACACUAAUUGCAGCAUUAUCCCCGGUGACUAAUUGCAAGCUUGAAGCAAGAAGAGAAGUAAUCUACAAUGGCGUCGGUAUAGGUGUUUCGUUGUGAAAUGGCCUUAAAGCGAGACCGAGUCUAUCUUGCUGUCGAGGGAGGGUGCCACGUUAAUAGGGGCUCUGAGGAUACGGAGGGUGGCGGUACGAGAAUUUUGGCGAAUUAGGUAAAAAUUGAAGAGACGGACGGGGCAAUGGAAAUUUGGAGGUUGACCUUUUUUGGAAUUCUAAUGAAACGUGUCGAUGACG